UUAGGAAGAAGUGCGAUCGCUCGCCUUAGGCGAGAGGAAAGUCCAGACAGCAGAAAGCAGGGUGUCCAGCGUAAGCUGGAGCGCGUAAGCGCCAGUUAGAGCCACAGAGACUACAACUCAUCUCAGACUUAAAACGUUUGAGGCAGAGGGUGAAAAGAGGCAAUCCUCCCCGCUGCAACCUCCGAAUUGGACGCUAUUACCGGCUUUCGGGAGUCCUAAAGUUCGAGGGCAUUAGACAGAUGAUCGCGUAACAACAGAAUCUGGCUACUCGCUUCCUGGGACA
rnacentral:RNase_P_RNA from 1 species